rnacentral:rRNA from 1 species
CGAUACGAGUUUGAUCCUGGCUCAGGAUGAACGCUAGCGGCAGGCCUAACACAUGCAAGUCGAGGGGCAGCAGGGGUAGCAAUACCCGCUGGCGACCGGCGCACGGGUGAGUAACGCGUAUGCAACCUACCCUCCGCAGGGGGAUAGCCCGCCGAAAGGCGGAUUAAUACCCCAUCGUCCCGGUGAACGGCAUCGUUUACCGGGUAAAGGAGCAAUCCGGCGGAGGAUGGGCAUGCGUGCCAUUAGCUAGUUGGCGGGGUAACAGCCCACCAAGGCGACGAUGGCUCGGGGGUCUGAGAGGAUGGUCCCCCCACACUGGUACUGAGACACGGACCAGACUCCUACGGGAGGCAGCAGUGAGGAAUAUUGGUCAAUGGGCGAAAGCCUGAACCAGCCAUGCCGCGUGCAGGAAGACGGCCCUACGGGUUGUAAACUGCUUUUCCGGGGGAAGAAUAAGGGCGAUACGUCGUCCGAUGCCGGUACCCGGGAAUAAGGAUCGGCUAACUCCGUG